ACCCAGUGGUGUCACUUCUAAGAAAUCUAGCCCUGACCUCUAUGCUAAGUCUAGCAUAAAUGUUUAUGUUCAGCAGAGCAAUUAUUGAUAGUAGUAAAACACUGGAAACAAAAUAGAUCCAAACACACUGCUACGGGAUGGGAUUGGUUAAAUAAAUGAUGGUCCAUAUGGUAGACAAAAAUGCCAGGUAGCCAUUAAAAUGAUGUAGUCUUCUAUUUUUACACUGUGGGAAAUUGUGCAAGUUACAUUUUUAGGUUUAAAAAAGGUGGUAGUUCUUCUGGUGACAUGUGGUGGAUG